CAGCGUCAAUAUAACUUAAUAGUUACAACUUUCAACAACGGAUCUCUUGGUUCUGGCAUCGAUGAAGAACGCAGCGAAAUGCGAUAAGUAGUGUGAAUUGCAGAAUUCAGUGAAUCAUCGAAUCUUUGAACGCACAUUGCGCCCCUUGGUAUUCCAUGGGGCAUGCCUGUUCGAGCGUC
rnacentral:rRNA from 1 species